rnacentral:rRNA from 1 species
UUUCCCUCAGGAUAGCUGGCACUCGCUUAUAGCGAGUCUCAUCUGGUAAAGCGAAUGAUUAGAGGCCUUGGGGCCGAAACGACCUCAACCUAUUCUCAAACUUUAAAUGGGUGAGAUCUCUGGCUUGCUUGAACGUUGAAGCCACGAGAUGCGACCGAGUCGUCGCCAUGGAUCAGAGUGCCAAGUGGGCCAAUUUUGGUAAGCAGAACUGGCGCUGUGGGA